AUUGAACGCUGGCGGCAGGCCUAACACAUGCAAGUCGAGCGAGCGGCGGACGGGUGAGUAAUGUCUGGGAAACUGCCUGAUGGAGGGGGAUACCUACUGGAAACGGUAGCUAAUACCGCAUACCAUCGGAUCUGCCCAGAUGGGAUUGGAUAGUAGGUGGGGUAACGGCUCACCUAGGCGACGAUCCCUCGCGGGUAUGAGAGGAUGACCGGCCAAACUGGAACUGAGACACGGUCCAUACUCCUACGGGAGGCAGCAGUGGGGAAUAUUGCACAAUGGGCGCAAGCCUGAUGCAGCCAUGCCGCGUGUAUGAAGAAGGCCUUCGGGUUGUAAAGUACUUUCAGCGGGGAGGCGUUACCCGCAGAAGAAGCACCGGCUAACUCCGUGCCAGCAGCCGCGGUAAUUC
rnacentral:rRNA from 1 species